rnacentral:rRNA from 1 species
AUUGAUUUUAUGCUUGCAUAAAUGAUUUUUGGAUUCGGAGCGAGUGGCGAACUGGUGAGUAACACGUGGGUAACCUGCCCCGAAGCGGGGGAUAACAUUUGGAAACAAGUGCUAAUACCGCAUAAUUAGUUGGAACCGCAUGGUUCCAACUUGAAAGAUGGCUCUGCUAUCACUUUGGGAUGGACCCGCGCCGUAUUAGUUAGUUGGUGAGAUAAAAGCCCACCAAGACGAUGAUACGUAGCCGACCUGAGGGGGUAAUCGGCCACAUUGGGACUGAGACACGGCCCAGACUCCUACGGGAGGCAGCAGUAGGGAAUCUUCCACAAUGGACGAAAGUCUGAUGGAGCAACGCCGCGUGAGUGAUGAAGGUUUUCGGAUCGUAAAACUCUGUUGUUAAAGAAGAACAAGUGUUAGAGUAACUGUUAACACUUUGACGGUAUUUAACCAGAAGGCCACGGCUAACUACGUGCCAGCAGCCGCGGUAAUACGUAGGUGGCAAGCGUUGUCCGGAUUUAUUGGGCGUAAAGCGAGCGCAGGCGGUUUUGUAAGUCUGCUGUGAAAGCCCUCAGCUCAACUGGGGAAGUGCAGUGGAAACUACAAAACUUGAGUACAGAAGAGGAAAGUGGAACUCCAUGUGUAGCGGUGAAAUGCGUAGAUAUAUGGAAGAACACCAGUGGCGAAGGCGGCUUUCUGGUCUGUUACUGACGCUGAGGCUCGAAAGCAUGGGUAGCGAACAGGAUUAGAUACCCUGGUAGUCCAUGCCGUAAACGAUGAAUACUAGGUGUUGGAGGGUUUCCGCCCUUCAGUGCCGCAGCUAACGCAUUAAGUAUUCCGCCUGGGGAGUACGACCGCAAGGUUGAAACUCAAAGGAAUUGACGGGGGCCCGCACAAGUGGUGGAGCAUGUGGUUUAAUUCGAUGCUACGCGAAGAACCUUACCAGCUCUUGACAUCUUCUGCCAACCCAAGAGAUUGGGCGUUCCCUUCGGGGACAGAAUGACAGGUGGUGCAUGGUUGUCGUCAGCUCGUGUCGUGAGAUGUUGGGUUAAGUCCCGCAACGAGCGCAACCCUUAUUAUUAGUUGCCAGCAUUUAGUUGGGCACUCUAGUGGGACUGCCGGUGAUAAA